AAUUUGGGGAAAAAAAUCGAAAUUUGAAAAUAAAAAAUCAAAAUUUAAAAAUAAAAAAUCAAAAUUUAAAAACAAAAAAUCAAAAUUUAAAAACAAAAAACCAAAAUUUGAAUGUGAAAAUUAAAAAAAAACGAGAGGAAUUGUGAAAAAGGAGUGAAAAGGAGGAAAAAUCACCGACUUCCGGAGGCGCAAAACAGCCGAGGAGCAACCGGGUCCCGCUCUGCGCUGGGGAGGAAAAACGGGGCAGGGUUUUUGGGGGGGUUUCGGCCUUUUUUGGGCAAUUUGCCCUAUUCUUCGCUUCCCUGGCCUCCCUCGCCUGCUUCCGGCCUCCAUUUUCGCCUUUCUGGCCUCUUUUUUUUUGCCUUUUCGCCCUCUUUUUUGGCCUUUUCGGCCUCUUUUUGGCCUUUUUGACCUCUUUUUUCCCUCUUUUUUGU
rnacentral:lncRNA from 1 species